rnacentral:lncRNA from 1 species
CAUAGAUAUCUUAUAUACACUAGAUAGCGCAUCUCUUUUAGUAAAAUUGAAGCCAAGAAUAUUCCAGCGGUUACCCCCAUUUGAAUAGAUGGCGGCCAUGUUGGUCGUUCCCACUAGCUAAUAAACGCUUAAAAACAACAAUAACUUUCAUCAUUUGAAUAGCUUAAAAAUGUAUUUGGAAUAGGGUUAACUUAAUGUUUAAGUUCCCUGUUUAAGAAAUAGAAAACAUACGAAUCUUCUUAUUUCAUGGGAACGACCUGAGACUGCAAUCACGGCUUCAAUUUUUGAAUUGCAGAAUAAUUAG